rnacentral:tRNA from 2 species
GGUGUGUUGCCCGAGUGGUUAAGGGGUUAGUCUUGAAUUUAUGAAUGUUCAAUGGUGUCUCUGUGCGCCGUUAACUAAUUCACUCUGUGAUCGCAGGUUCGAAUCCUGCACACAUCG